rnacentral:tRNA from 1 species
UACCUUAGCUAGAAUCUAAGGCCCAUUCG